rnacentral:rRNA from 1 species
AACGUAGGACGCAAGCGUUAUCCGGAGUUACUGGGCGUAAAGCGCGGGCAGGCGGUCACUCAAGUCUGAUGUGAAAUCUCUCCGCUCAACGGGGAGCAGCCAUUGGAAACUGGGCGACUGGAGUCUGACAGAGGUAGGCGGAAUUCCGGGUGGAGUGGUGAAAUGCGUAGAUAUUGGGAAGAACACCGGUGGCGAAAGCGCCUUGCUGGACCUGCACUGACACUGAGGGACGAAAGCUAGGGGAGCGAAAGGG